ACACUGAUUGCUCCUGUGAUUUCUGUGUCUUCUGAUCGUCUCGUCACGUCUCGCUGUGUGAAUCUGAUUCAUGAGAUCCGCUGUGAUGCUUCAGGAUCUCAUUCCAGUCGUGAGACCAUGUUCAGAGUGAGGAAUGAAACUGCAGCGACUCCAAACUCAGGUGAGGUUCAGCUGAUAAACGUCUGAUUAUUCACUAAUAAAACACUGCAGAUCUGAUCCACUUUCACUCUUUUCUCUCAUCUUGACUCAUAUUUGUGAUCACUGUGAAGAUCUCCUGAAUGAAGCGUCUCUCCAGUACUCAGAUCAGCUGUGGUGGCUUCUGGCUGUUUUCAUCAUCAUUUUUCUGGUAUUUCUCUGUUUCUUGCUGCGUAAAAGGAUCUUCAGGACACUGAUGAAGGUCAGAUCUGAUGAUCCUCAUGCAGUGCAGGAAUCUGAGCAGUUCAAAGCUCCUGAGAUUGAGGUCUGAAUCUACAUCACGGCUCAUUCUUCAUAUCAGCUCAAACUGAACGAGGCACAAAGCUGAUUUCCAGAACCUUCACCGUCUCUGUUCCUCUGAUCCACCAGCCUCCACACCAUCUCCUCAAACCAUCACGACUGAUGCUGAAGACAUCUGAACCAGUCCACAACAUUAAAAACCAAAUAUUGAUUUGAUUUAGUUAAUAGAAGUUAAUUGGUAAAAAAAAAAUCCAUUUAUGACAAUAUUUUUGAAAGCAUCCUUACUUUAAAGCAUAUUUACACAAGUGCCUAAAACUUCUCACAGUACUGUAGCUUUGGAGGCAGGUUUCUUAAAAUGUCAUAAAAAAAAUUUAUGACAGUUUUUAACAUUUUUUGUCCUCUAAGGACCUCAGAGUAACUUUAAUUUAAAAAUUAUGCACAAGGGUAAAUUAGUGCAGUUAAUAUGUCUGUGGAUGGCACAGGUCUACUUAUUAAAAAAAAGUUAAAGUGUUGAAGGAUUUGAUGAUUUUACUAUACAAUACAAUGUAACAUUUAUUCCAAUGUGUAAUUUCUAUUAGUGCAAUACA
ensembl:lncRNA